GUGGCAGCCGCCGCGGUAAAACCAGCACCUCAAGUGGUCAGGAUGAUUAUUGGGCCUAAAGCAUCCGUAGCCGGCUUUGUAAGUUUUCGGUUAAAUCUAUAUGCUCAACAUAUAGGCUGCCGGGAAUACUGCAAAGCUAGGGAGUGGGAGAGGUAGACGGUACUCCGUAGGAAGGGGUAAAAUCCUUUGACCUAUGGAUGACCACCUGUGGCGAAGGCGGUCUACCAGAACACGUUCGACGGUGAGGGAUGAAAGCUGGGGGAGCAAACCGGAUUAGAUACCCGGGUAGUCCCAGCUGUAAACUAUGCAAACUCAGUGAUGCAUUGGCUUGUGGCCAGUGCAGUGCCGCAGGGAAGCCGUUAAGUUUGCCGCCUGGGAAGUACGUACGCAAGUAUGAAACUUAAAGGAAUUGGCGGGGGAGCACCACAAGGGGUGAAGCCUGCGGUUCAAUUGGAGUCAACGCCAGAAAUCUUACCCGGAGAGACAGCAGGAUGAAGGUCAAGCUGAAGACUUUACCAGACAAGCUGAGAAGUGGUGCAUGGCCGUCGCCAGCUCGUGCCGUGAGGUGUCCUGUUAAGUCAGGUAACGAGCGAGAUCCUUGCCUCUAGUUGCCACCAUUACUCUCAGGAGUAGUGGGGCGAAUUAGCGGGACUGCCGUAGUUAAUACGGAGGAAGGAGAGGGCCACGGCAGGUCAGUAUGCCCUGAAACUCUGGGGCCACACGCGGGCUGCAAUGGUAGUGACAAUGUGUUCCGAAUCCGAGAGGAGGAGGUAAUCCUCAAACGCUACCACAGUUAUGACUGAGGGCUGCAACUCGCCCUCACGAAUAUGGAAUCCCUAGUAACCGCGUGUCAUUAUCGCGCGGUGAAUACGUCCCUGCUCC
rnacentral:rRNA from 1 species